rnacentral:lncRNA from 1 species
UCCUUUGAACAAAUACAUUGACAUUUCUAUCUCUGCUAUCACCUCGGGAUGAAAUUUCACUUGCAGCAUACAAUAAGGAGUACACGGCAGCCUGAGAAAAUUUAUAUGACAUGUUUCUCAGUUCUUCAUAAAUUUGGCAAAUUUUGAAACAGUGAAAUAAGGUGAGACAUGAUCAACGUCAUAGUAACAAUUCUUGUAGCAAAGGCAAUAAAGUAAACACUACCAAAAUUCAUUUAUGAU